GAUGAAGAACGUAGCGAAAUGCGAUAAGUAAUGUGAAUUGCAGAAUUCAGUGAAUCAUCGAAUCUUUGAACGCACAUUGCGCCCGCCAGCAUUCUGGCGGGCAUGCCUGUCCGAGCGUCAUUUCAACCCUCAGGGUCCCUCCGCCUCGCGCGGUCGGAGCCUGGUGUUGGGGAUCGGCCCGCCCCGCGCGGCGCCGUCCCCCAAAUACAGUGGCGGUCCCGCCGCAGCCUCCCCUGCGCAGUAGUUAUCAACUCGCACUGGAGCGCGGCGCGGCCACGCCGUAAAACCCCCGACUUCUGAACGUUUGACCUCGGAUCAGGUAGGAAUACCCGCUGAACUUAAGCAUAUCAAUAAGCGGAGGA
rnacentral:misc_RNA from 1 species